AUUGAACGCUGGCGGCAGGCCUAACACAUGCAAGUCGAGCGAGCGGCGGACGGGUGAGUAAUGUCUGGGAAACUGCCUGAUGGAGGGGGAUAACUACUGGAAACGGUAGCUAAUACCGCAUACCAUCAGAUGUGCCCAGAUGGGAUUAGCUAGUAGGUGGGGUAACGGCUCACCAAGGCCACGAUGCCUAGCCGGCCUGAGAGGGUGAUCAGCCACACUGGGACUGAGACACGGUCCAGACUCCUACGGGAGGCAGCAGUGGGGAAUAUUGGGCAAUGGGCGAAAGUCUGACCGAGCAAUGCCGCGUGUGUGAAGAAGGUUUUCGGAUCGUAAAGCACUGUUAGUUGGGAGGCGGUAUCUACCCAAGAAGCAACGGCUAACUACGUGCCAGCAGCCGCGGUAAUAC
rnacentral:rRNA from 1 species